rnacentral:rRNA from 1 species
GCUACUGCCAUCAGAGUUCGAUUAAGCCAUGUUAGUCGAGGGUGCUUCUUCUUCGGAAGAGGUAACCCGGCGGACGGCUCAGUAACACGUGGAUAACUUGCCCUUGGGUCCGGGAUAACCCCUGAGAAAUUGGGGACAAUACCGGAUAGGGCAUCGAUAGCUGGAAUGCGCGAUGUCCAAAAGCUGAGGCGCCCAAGGAUAGGUCUGCGGCCGAUUAGGUUGUUGUUGAUGUAAUGGAUCAACAAGCCUGCAAUCGGUACGGGUUGUGAGAGCAAGAGCCCGGAGAUGGGUUCUGAGAAAAGAACCCAGGUCCUACGGGACGCAUCAGGCGCGAAAACUUUACAAUGUGCGAAAGCACGAUAAGGGAACUCUGAGUGCCUCCUAUGGAGGCUGUUCAGGUGUCUAAAAAGCACUUGAAGUAAGGGCUGGGUAGGACCGGUGCCAGCCGCCGCGGUAACACCGGCAGCCCAAGUGGUAGCCACGAUUAUUGGGUCUAAAGCGUCCGUAGCCGGCCAGGUAAGUUCUUUGGGAAAUUUAACCGCUCAACGGUUAAGCUUUCAGGGAAUACUGCUUGGCUUGGGACCGGGAGAGGUCAGAGGUACUUCAAGGGUAGGGGUGAAAUCCGUUAAUCCUUGAGGGAC